GAGGACUUCCGCGGGACAACCUCUUAGCGGCCCCAGUCCAGAGUCCGCUGUCCGCGUGCAGUCGCCGGCUGUCCCAGGGGCCGCGGUCUCCUGCCCAAGACGUCCCGGCUUCGAUCCCCGCAGCUGCGACAGCUGACCUAUCAGUGACCGUCGGCGAGGAAGAUGGCGUCCGAACAAAACAUGAACUCAGUGACUGUUCUUCUUGAAAUGAAGAGGGAAUCAGGAGGAAAAGUGGAAGACGACCUGGGAGUUGAUGAAGAGUGCCCAACGGGACAUGAAGAAUAGAAUGGAGAAUCACCAAGAAGAGAUGAAGAAUGAAAUAAGUAACAGCCAGAAGAGGUGAAGAACGUCAAGAAGAGAUGAAGAAUGAAAUAUGUAAACAGCCAGAAGAGGUGAAGAUCGCCGUGAAGAGUUAAAAGUUGACUGAAAUAAUAAGGGCCAAGAAUCCAUGAAAGAGGCACACGAACAUUAAGAGGAGCGAUGUAAUUUCUCGGGUUGAAUGGGGCAGCCAAGAGUGGGCGAAGACAAGGGAGGAAGCGAGAAGUCCAGAGAGAGCCCGUAUAACCCGGUGACCUUGGAAAAGGAGGCUCAACGACCUUGACCCUCCCACCCCUCCCCCCAUUCUUAGAAAGAGAUGAUGCCGGUGGCUACACUCGCCAGUGACCAGUGCGUCGGUCACGGACCCCCACU